CUACGGGGUGCUGCAGUCGAGAAUCUUCCGCAAUGGACGAAAGUCUGACGGAGCGACGCCGCGUGAUUGAUGACACUCUUCGGAGCGUAAAGAUCUUUUAUGAGGGAAGAAAUUUUUGACGGUACCUCAUGAAUAAGGGGCUCCUAAUCUCGUGCCAGCAGGAGCGGUAAUACGGAGCCCCGAGCGUUAUCCGGAAUUAUUGGGCGUAAAGGGUGCGUAGGUUGUUUUGUUAGUCGUUUGUCAAAUCUUCCCGCUCAACGGGAAAACUGCGGGCGAAACGGCAAAACUUGAGAAUGUGAGAGGUAUAGGGAACUCAUGGCGUAGGGGUGAAAUCCGUUGAUAUCAUGGGGAACACCAAAAGCGAAGGCACUAUACUGGCACAUAUCUGACGCUUAAGCACGAAAGCGUGGGUAGCGAAUGGGAUUAGAUACCCCCGUAGUC
rnacentral:rRNA from 1 species